rnacentral:rRNA from 1 species
UCGUCUAUAUACGUAUAGCAUAUCAAUAAGCGGAGGAAAAGAAACUAACAAGGAUUCCCUUAGUAACGGCGAGUGAAGCGGGAAGAGCUCAAAUUUGAAAUCUUCAAGGUUCUACCUUGACGAAUUGUAGUUUAAAGAAGUGUUUUCUGUUAGAGGAGUAGCAAAAGUUCCUCGGAAUGGGACAUCAUAGAGGGUGAGAAUCCCGUAUUUGGUUAUUCUUUCUAGCUUUGUGAUACACUUUCAAAGAGUCGGAUUGUUUGGGAAUGCAGUCCAAAGAUGGGUGGUAAAUUUCAUCUAAAGCUAAAUAUUGGCGAGAGACCGAUAGCGAACAAGUACCGUGAGGGAAAGAUGAAAAGAACUUUGAAAAGAGAGUUAAACAGUACGUGAAAUUGUCAAAAGGGAAGCGUUUGACACCAGUGUUGUUUUUCCGAAAAUCAAUUAAGAACGGCUUGAUUUUGUGUUGUAUUGACCUUAUCAGCUUUCUUCACUCUUUUUCGAGUCUUUCUUAAUGCACUUUUCGGUUAACAAGUCAACAUCAAUUUCUUUUGUUGUAAAAGGGUAUUUGGAAGGUGGCUUUCUUUUCGGAGAAAGUGUUUAUAGCCUUAUACCUCUACAAUCGGAGAGAUUGAGGUCUGCAGCGUAGAUCCUUCGGGGCUAGAUACAUCUUGUGCUAAGUUAUAGCUUUUCAUAGACAACUUGUUGACUAUGUUUAGUCAUGUAGCUUACUCGCUGAUGCUAUUUUACCUACGCUUAGGAUGUUGAGUCAUCACACAUCUCU